rnacentral:misc_RNA from 1 species
GAUGAAGAACGUAGCGAAAUGCGAUAAGUAAUGUGAAUUGCAGAAGUCAGUGAAUCAUCGAAUCUUUGAACGCACCUUGCACCCUUUGGAAUUUUCCAAAGGGUAUGCUCGUUUGAGUGUCAUUGUACUCUCACACUCUCCGAUCCUUUGGAUAUGGGGAGCGGUGGACUUGGGUGCUUGCUGCUUCCUUGUGGCUCACCUGAAAUGCGUCAGUGCAUCUCUUGAUUGGACAUAGUACGGCGUGAUAAGUGUCUUCGCCGGCACCUCAUAAGAGGGUGGCCGAUCGGGAGCUCUGUGCUUUCAAACCGUCUUCGGACAAUCCCUGACAACUUGACCUCAAAUCGAGUAGGACUACCCGCUGAACUUAAGCAUAUCAAUAAGCGGAGGA